GGCGCGGGGCGCGCGCGCCGGGCGCUGCUGUUAGUGGCGUCAGGGAAACCCCGGAGAAGCGGAUUCUCCUCCUCCUCCCGCCCGCUCGCUGCAGCCCCUCGGCCCCGCGCGCCCCCGCCUCCUCCUCCUCGCCCCGGGAACAAAUUCCCCAUCUCACCUCCCCAGACGCCUCUGGCUGCGGAGACCUGAGGGCGAGCGGCGCUCCGAGCUCAGGCUGGUCCGCGAGGCCGGUGCGGGCGCGCACCUCUGCUCUGUCGGGGCCUGGAGCCUCUAUAUAGGGCCUCAGAGGAAACCGAAUGGCCUCCGGGAGGAAACCUGGUUACUUUCUUCAGAUAUUUUAUUCUAAAGCACCAAAAUGAAUAUAAGGCGUGGAACAUCGGUAGGGAAGAGCUCAGAAUCUUCAUGAAACCUCUUAAAUCAUCAAAACGGUGAAAUUAGGAAUUUUCAUCCCAGUUAUUUAAUAGAGCAAACACAGGCUUAUCGUUCUUCUCUAGGAAAACCAUUUAAAUACCUUUUUGUUUUGGUUAGAGUUGUGAACCAGCAAAAAUAUUUCCUAAAUACCCGUGAUUGACCUGUUAAAUUAGAAAUAGAUUACCUCCCAAUUACUUCACAAGUAUUUGCUUAAUUAACCUUUAAUAAUCACAUCAUUAUUAAGUUUUUCUGAGAUAAUUAAUGAGAAAAGCUCUUUGGAAACUGUAAAUUGCCUUGCAAAUGCUAAUUUCCUGGUAUCUUUUCUAAGUCUGGAAAAAUUUCAUUAUAUUAAACCUAUAACAUGUAUAAUAUGA